AUGGUCUCGCGUCCCAUUAGUUAGUUGGUGAGGUAACGGCUCACCAAGACUGCGAUGGGUAGCCGGCCUGAGAGGGUGAACGGCCACACUGGAACUGAGACACGGUCCAGACUCCUACGGGAGGCAGCAGUGGGGAAUAUUGCACAAUGGAGGAAACUCUGAUGCAGCGACGCCGCGUGAACGAUGAAGGCUUUCGGGUCGUAAAGUUCUGUCCUAGGGGACGAUAAUGACGGUACCCUAGGAGGAAGCCCCGGCUAACUACGUGCCAGCAGCCGCGGUAAUACGUAGGGGGCGAGCGUUGUCCGGAUUUAUUGGGCGUAAAGGGUUCGCAGGCGGUCUCUUAAGUUAGAUGUGAAAGAUCACGGCUCAACCGUGGUAAGCAUUUAAAACUGGGAGACUUGAGUUAAGGAGAGGAAAGUGGAAUUCCUAGUGUAGCGGUGAAAUGCGUAGAUAUUAGGAGGAAUACCAGUGGCGAAGGCGACUUUCUGGACUUAUACUGACGCUGAGGAACGAAAGCGUGGGGAGCAAACAGGAUUAGAUACCCUGGUAGUCCACGCCGUAAACGAUGAGUGCUAGGUGUCGGGGGUCAAACCUCGGUGCCGCAGCUAACGCA
rnacentral:rRNA from 1 species